UACAGAGGUCCCAAGCGUUGUUCGGAAUUACUGGGCGUAAAGCGCGCGCAGGCGGUCCUUUAAGUCAGGGGUGAAAGCCCAGAGCUCAACUCUGGAACUGCCUUUGAAACUAGAGGACUUGGGUACGGGAGAGGUGAGUGGAAUUCCGAGUGUAGAGGUGAAAUUCGUAGAUAUUCGGAAGAACACCAGUGGCGAAGGCGGCUCACUGGCCCGUUACCGACGCUCAGGCGCGA
rnacentral:rRNA from 1 species